GUAGGUGAACCUGCGGAAGGAUCAUUCAUAAUUUUGUAAUGUUCUUCUUUAACUAACGUUCAUUUGUUACGGCCUCGGCCAUAACAAAGUAUACCUAUUUCAUAGGUUUUAAUGGUUACUAAAUAUCCUAAAAAAUUAUAAAUUUUCAACGAUGGAUAUCUAGGCUCCAAUAACGAUGAAGAACGCAGCGAAGUGCGAUAAGCAAUGCGAAUUGCAGAACCGCGAGUCAUCAGAUUUUUGAACGCAAGUGGCGGCUGCCUCGGCAGUCAUGUUUGUUUCAGUGUGUCCGGUUAAUUACAUCAAAGAAUAUAAUGUGAUUGAAGAAAUUCUCUCACAAAAUAUGGAAUAAUGUCAAUGAAGACUCCAAACGAAAUAGUCACUAAAUGGUGAUAGUCGUUUGAGGAUCGGAAUUGGUGAAUCAUUAUUCAAAAACAAAUUAUCCAAUUAUGGCACCUGAAAUAAGCAAGAGUACCCGCUGAACUUAAGCAUAUCAGUA
rnacentral:rRNA from 1 species